rnacentral:lncRNA from 1 species
UCUCCUCUCAUGUCUCCUGGUGAAAGGCCCUUCCUCUUUUUCUUCUCAAAGUUCCUUUCUCUUCCCCAGGAAGUUCCACCUUCUGCUUCCUGUCCAACUAACUGGCCAUCAGAUGUUUAUUAAAGCCAAUCAGAGAAUGCCUUAGGUAGGUGAGGAAGGACAGAGACACAAAUUCAUACAGUGUAUCCCAACAACUAGUUACUUUUCUAUUGCCAUAAACAAGGCACUAUGACCAAGACAACUUAUAUGUCAAAAAGCAUUGAAUUUGGAGCUUUUGUAGAGUUUAGAGGGUGAGUGUCUGACCAUCAUGAUGGAAAGCAAGGCUGCAGGCAGGUCCUGGAGAAGUAGCUGAGAGCUUACACGUCAUCCACAAGAAUGAUACAAAGAAGGAGAAGAUGGAACAUGACCCUGUCUUAAAAAAGAAAAAAAGACAGCUCCUAAGGAACAAUACCCAAGAUUGUGCUUCAGCCUACACACACACACACACACACACACACACACACACACACACAUUCAUUCACACACAUAUACAUAUACACAUUCAUACACACACACACACUCACACACACACUCAUACUCACACACAUUCACACACAUAUACACAUUCAUACACACACACACACACACACACACACUCACACACUAUACUGAAAUGGGGAAAUUAAAAGCAGAACUAGAAGGAGCUUCCAAUCUAGUAGAACUAGUAAGUACUGAGAGAGAUCAAAUAUCUGAGAUCAAAGCCAUGUGAAUGAUUGACAAAGAAUAUGGUGUUCUUCCAACACUGUGGUCUUGAGAUUUUCUUUGCUGUAACUAAAGCCCAGUAACUUAUCAGAGUUGCCCAUUAACAAUACACCACAAUAAGGAGCAUAGCCUGAACUUUCCUCUUAUCUACCUGCAAUGCAGAUACGCACAGACAAUACCUCUACCAUCUGUUCUUGCUUCAAGAGUCUGUGCGCCAGUAAACAUAAAAUUCCCUAAAGUAGCUGUAAAAAUGCUGCGCUAUGCAAAUCACCUCAACCAUUUAAGUCUUUGACACUGCCUACAAAAAUAGCUGCCCAUAAAAGAGAAUCAGAUGCGGUGAAUAAUUCACAUGCAUGCCCUUGUGUGGGCGGGAGCUGGGUGCUGUUUGCUUUGACGUGGUGAAACCCACAGUUAGAAUCCAGACUUCUACCUAGAAUCUCAGUCUGAACACUUUCAAGGCAUUGACAGUCGCAGAACUGAAAUGAAUGAAGGUUCUAGUCACGGAGCCAAUGAGUCUUCUCUAUCUAAGGACAAAAGAGAAGCAGGAGUCUCAGGAGAUUAGGGUCCAGCUGAGGGCAGAAAGAAGAAGCUUGGUAGAAAUGGUAAGAACGCAAGAAUGGGGUUCUGAAAGCUGUAGAAGGCAGGGAGACAGACAGAAGAGAGAGAAAGCAUCCCUAGACUGUCCAAAGAGGCCUUCAGUGGUCAUACUUGUCAUGAGGAUGCUGUUGUGUUAACACAUGAAAGGCAUUCAGAGAAAUGUCAACAUGUAGUCAGAUCUGAAGAAGUGUCAACCUGAGAGGGAAAAACAUUACCAGGUCACACUUUCCCCAAAGUCACAAACAUCCAGUCACACAAGCCCUAACGAACAUAUCAUCAGGGCUGGAGAGAUGGCUCAGUGGUUAAGAGCACUGGCUGCUCUUCCAGAGGUCCUGAGUUACCAGUUCAGUUACCAGCACCCACAUGGUGGCUCACAACCAUCUGUAAUGGGAUCUGAUGCCCUCCUCUAGCACACGGAUGUUCAUGCAGAUAGAGCCCUCAUAUACAUAAAAAUAAAUAAAUAAGUCUUUUUUUUUUUUUUAAAAAAAGAGAGCAUAUUAUCUUCUUGUCACACAGAACUAAAGUCCAACUUGCAAAGAAAAAAAAAAGUCUGUCAGAGUUCCUGGUAGGUUUAGUUUCUUAUGCAUUUGAAGGUAGAGGCAGUUCACAAGCUUCAGAUACACAAUGUGUUCAAGACUACAUUGGGCUAAACAAUAACAACCUCUCCCAAAACAAAAACAAGUCAGAGGCUGAAGAGCUAGCUCAACAAUUAAGAGUGUACGUUGCUCUCAAAGAGGACCCAGGUUCACUUCUCAGCACCCACACAGUGGCUCACAAAAAUCUGAACUCCGGUUUCAAGAGAUUCCGCACUCUCCUCUGAUUUCCCUGGCACCGGGCAUGCAGGUGGUUUGUGUACAUUCAUGCAGCCAAAAAUACUCAUCCACAUGAAAUAAAAUAACCAUGUAAAACAAGCAACUGGAACCCCCUCCCAAACAAACAAACAAACAAACAACAACAAAACCAAAUUAACAACAACAAACAAAAUCCUGUCUGGUAAAUCAUUUUUAAAAUUUUUUAAAAAUAAGAUUACCACAUGAUUUGGUAACUUUUUUCCUAGAUAUGUCUCUGUACAUAUAUGUAUAUAUAAAAAAUCAAAAGCUGAUAUCUGAACAGGUAUUUUUAUAUAUGUGUUUUGAAUAGAAGUACUCACAGAAGCUAAGAUACAGAAACCACUCCACUGUCACCUGUGGAUAAGCUGUAGGUAACAGGCAAAGAGUGGAAAGUUACUCAGCCAUAGCAAGGAAGACAAUCUGGUCACACUCUAGUAUAGGCGAACCCCGAGGACACUGCAGUAAAUGAAGUUAGCUGGUCACAAAUAGACGGGCACUGUACGAUUCCUUCUCUAUGAACUGUCCAAUGUCAGGUUCACAGAGAAGAGAAAGGAAGUAUCGUGUGGUUACCAGAUUCUUUGGGAAAGGCAAGUGGUUUAAUCGGUUUAGUUUUAGAUUUGAAGUAUAAGAAUGUUCUAGAAAUCUGUUUCUUAAUAGUGUGGGGGGGCAUACACAAUACCACUGAUGCACCCCAAGCAUGACCAUACAUUCCUGUAAGCCCAGCACUGGGGGGAGGGGGUGGGGGGUGCUGAGUACAGGGGCUGUGCAUUCCCAGGCAGUCAAGGUUACACACCCCUAUCUCAAAGCACAAUGUAACAGCAAGA